rnacentral:misc_RNA from 1 species
AAACCGGUUACCGAUUCACGCAGCAACAGAGCCGCCGUUCAAGCCACCAACGACGACGCUUCCGCCAGCAAACUGUCGUGUGUGAAAAAAGGAUAUAUGAAAGAUGAUUAUGUUCAUCUGUUUGUUAAAAAGCAGCUGAGGCGAGCUCCGAUUAUUAACCGUGGUUAUUUUGCCCGCUGGGCUGCUCUUCGAAAGAUGCUUUAUCAAUUUCUUGAUUGUGAGCCGAGUGCUGAUGGAAAUGGAAAUAUCAGGAAGCAGAUACUGUCACUUGGAGCUGGCUUCGACACACUGUUUUUUCAGUUGCAG